UGUGAUCGGAUCGGAUUCGAGGUGUAUUUAUAGUGAUCACAUAAAUGGAAAGCUACAUGAAGAUACAUGAGACAAGAGGUUAACACUCUUCUAUGUGUUACCCUCUAUUAUUAGAUUGUAUUGUUGACACUGAUUUUGUGACCCAAAUAUGGUGAGUACAAUUUUACCUUAUAUACGUUUGUUGAUACAACAAUGCUCUUUACCAAAUUCCAAUUUAGGCGAGCGUAGCUUAGCUUGGGGCCUUCCUUGUGCAGUUAUUGCCAUCUUCAUGCCCCAUAAGUUGCUUCUACCAUGCAUGGAAGAUAAAGACGCCACCGACAGCCCCAUA
rnacentral:lncRNA from 1 species